rnacentral:snRNA from 1 species
AGCUUUGCACAGUGGCAGUAUCGUAGCCAAUGAGGUUUAGCCAAGGCACGGUUAUUGCUAAUUGAAAACUUUUCCCAAUACCCCGCCAUGACGACUUGAAAUACAGUCGGCAUUGGCAAUUUUUGACAGUCUCUACGGAGA